rnacentral:lncRNA from 1 species
GUUUCCUGAGCCAUAAUCCUGUGCUUCAAACAAAAAAAAAGGUGGGGAAAGUGAGUAUUCACCACGGAGCUAUUUGAUUCUGUGGAGUGCUGACAGGUACUCUGUCCUGAGUAGAAUUACAGGGACUCUGCCUACCCCAGGCAGACCCAGUAUCAGGUCAGCUAUAAUUGGCACCUGGUGAGAGGUCACGAAACUCAGGCUGUGGGAGCGAGUGCAUUAGGGGCCCUGUGACAGCAGUUGCCAUGCGUUUUCUGAGUGCUGUCAGGCAGGACCUUCAAUCACAGCAUGCUUUGUGCUGUGCGUUCUAAAAAUGGAAAUUAAACCACCAGAUCCUCACCAGACUGUGAGGCUUGAUGGAUGAGCUUAAUGAACCCAGGAUAAAGGAAUU